rnacentral:tRNA from 1 species
GGGAGUGAAUAGGUACCUGGUGGGCCUCUCGGUCUUCAAAACCGAUGUGGGGUUGUAACAGAUCCCGGUUGAGUUCGAUUCUCACUCGCUCCCGCCA